UACGUAGGUGGCGAGCGUUGUCCGGAUUUAUUGGGCGUAAAGCGCGCGCAGGUGGCUCGGUCAGCGUGCGGUGAAAGCCCGGGGCUCAACCCCGGGUCGGCCGUGCGAACUGCUGGGCUGGAGCACUGUAGAGGCAGGUGGAAUUCCGGGUGUAGCGGUGGAAUGCGUAGAGAUCCGGAAGAACACCGGUGGCGAAGGCGGCCUGCUGGGCAGUAGCUGACGCUGAUGCGCGACAGCGUGGGGAGCAAACAGG
rnacentral:rRNA from 1 species